rnacentral:sRNA from 1 species
UACAUUUCACUCCAGACCCUCGCUAAGACUCCUGAGAAACGCCAGGUAAACGUUUGCCUACACACACCCUAAUCGCAACAUCAGGGUUGCGGCACGCCGGAAAAACGACACGGAACGUCAGGAAGGGGUCAAUGGCCGUUACGCUAAUUCAGUAAGCCUGGAAUUUUGUCUGAUCUUGAGGAAAAGGGGAAGCGUUAAAAACAGUUAUCAAUAUAAAACAUGAGAGAUUUUUGUGCGGGAAUGUGCAAAAAUGCGCUAUAUCACUUUUUGUGUGGGAAUAAAAAAGGAGAAAACUUGAUGAGUACCGACCUGAAAUUUUCGUUGAUUACUACGCUGAUUGUUCUGGGCGUGAUUGUCGCAGGUGGAUUAACGGCCGCUCUGCACUGAUUU